rnacentral:miRNA from 1 species
GGUGGGGGCUGUGGAUU